GGUCCAUUGGCCCAGCGGUACGGCGUACCUUUCCUAUCUUUUCGAAGGAGGGUAAGAUCUGGGGUUCGAUCCCCCAAUGGACUU